rnacentral:rRNA from 1 species
UACAGGGGGGGCAAGCGUUGUUCGGAAUUACUGGGCGUAAAGGGUUCGUAGGUGGCUCACUAAGUCACACGUGAAAUCCCUCAGCUUAACUGGGGAACUGCGUGUGAAACUGGAGAGCUUGAGGGUAGGAGAGGAAUGCAGAAUUCCAGGGGUAGCGGUGAAAUGCGUAGAUAUCUGGAGGAAUACCGGUGGCGAAGGCGGCAUCCUGGACCGGCAUUGACGCUGAGGCGCGAAAGCCAGGGGAGCAAACGGG